GGAAGUUUUGGAAGAGAGAUUUUCGACCAUGAUUUGAAGACGUGGAGCUAUUGAAUACACAUCGCCCCGUGAUCAAUUUCAUAGAUUAUUAACGUUUACUAAUACCUAAAGUUGGAUUACAAAAGUAUUUUGAAGUGUUUUGUGAAAGUUUAUAGGCAACUUUUUUAAUUAAAAAAAAUGACAUUGCGUUUUGAAACAGUGUUUUUUUCUGGAUCACACAGUUUCCAUAAAUGGAUAUUUUGGGUAUAUAUGGACCGAUUUAAUCGAAAAAAAGACCCAAUAGUGAUGUUUAUGGGACAUAUAGGAGUGCCAACAAAGAAGCUCGUCAAAGGACCUGAGCCCUAGGACCAUACCUCAGGACUACCUGGCAUGAUGACUCCUUGCUGUCCCCAUCCACCUGGCCGUGCUGCUGCUCCAGUUUCACCUGUUCUGCCUGCGGCUAUGGAAUCCUGACCCUUUCACCGGACGUUUUUACCUGUCCCAGACCUAUUAUUUGACCAUGCUGGUCAUUUAUGAACCUUCUGAACAUCAUGGCCAUGUUCUGUUAUAAUCUCCACCUGGCACAGUCAGAAGAGGACUGGCCACCCCUCAUAGCCUGGUUCCUCUCUAGGUUUCUUCCUAGGUUUUGACCUUUCUAGGGAGUUUUUCCUAUGCAACGUGCUUCAACACCUGCAUUGCUUGCUGUUUGGGGUUUUAGGCUGAGUUUCUGUACAGCACUUUGAGAUAUCAGCUGAUGUACGAAGGGCUAUAUAAAUACAUUUAAUUUGAUUUGAUUUUAAUGAAUCUCCCAGUGUCUGGUGGAAAGCAGACUGAACCAGGUUUUAGGACCUCAAGGACUUUGUGCUUAGCUCCUUUCCAUUUCUUAUUUUAUCCAAUCCUUAACAAUUACAAGCAUACCCAUAACAUUAUGCAGACAGCCACCACUAUGCUUGUAAAUAUGGAGAGUGGUAUUCAGGAAUGUGUUGUAUUGGAUUUGCCACAAACAUAACACUUUGUAUUCAGGGCAAAACGUUAAUUGCUUUGACACAUUUUUUGAUGUAUUUCUUUACUGUAAUGUCUUGUUGCAAACAGGAUGCAUGUUUUGGAGUAUUUGUAUUUUGCACAGGUUUCCUUCUUUUCACUCUGUCAAUUAGAUUAGUAUUGUGGAGUAACUACAAUGUUGUUGAUCCAUCCUCAGUUUUCUCUUAUCAUAGCCAUUAAACGCUGCAACUGUUUUUAAGUCACCAUUGGCCUCAUUGAGAAAUCCCUGAGUGAGUCCUUCCUCUCCGGCAACUGCGUUAGGAAGGAUGCCUAUAUCUUCUUGAUAACUGAUUUGUAGUGAUUGAUACAUCAUCCAAAGUGUAAUUAAUAUCCUCUCCAUGCUCAAAGGGAUAUUCAAUGUCUCCUUUUUUUAUUUUUACCCAUCCUCCAAUAAGCGGCCUUCUUUGCGAGCCAUUGGAAAUCCUCCCUGGUCUUUGUGGUUAAAUAAGUGUUUGACUGAGGGACCUUACAGAUAAUUUGAUGUGUGGGUUAUACUAUUAUUGCACACAGAGUUAACCCAUGAAACAUAUUGUGUGACUUGCUAAGCAAAUUUUUGCUCCUGAACUUCUUUAGGCUUGCAUAAAUGUGGCAAAGGUUGAAUAAUUGUUGGCCCAAGACAUUUCAUCCUUUUAUUUUUUAACAUAAUUCCACUUAUGGGACAUUAUGGGGUAUUGUGUAUAGGCCAGUAACAAAAAAAAGACCAGUUGAAUCCAUUUUAAAUGCAGACUGGAACACAACAAAAUGUGUUAAAAGUCAAGUUGUGUGAAUACUUGAUGAAAAUGACAUUCAUCAUAGCUAAAUUACAGCGGCAUAUGAAAGUAUUCACCCAAUUGGCAUUUUUCCUAUUUCAUUGCCUUGCAACCUGGAAUUAAAAUUGUUUUUUUGGGGGGGUUGUAUCAUUUGAAGAUGCAAAGUAUUUUUUAUUGUGAAACAAACAAGAAAUAAGACCAAAAAAAAACAGAAAACUUGAGUGUGCAUAACUAAGUCAAUACUUUGUAGAGCGAUCUUUUGCAGCAAUUACAGCUGCAAGUCUCUUGGGGUACGAAUCUAUAAGCUUGCAUAUGUAGCCACUGGGAUUUUUGCCCAUUCUUCAAGGCAAAACUGCUCCAGUCAUUUAAAGUAGGAUGGGUUCCGCUGGUGUACAGCAAUAUUUAUGUCAUACCACAGAUUCUCAAUUGGAUUGAGGUCUGGGCUUUGACUAGGCCAUUCCAAGACAUUUAAAUGUCUCCCCUUAAACCACUUGAGUGUUGCUUUAGCAGUAUGAUUAGGAUCAUUGUCCUGCUGGAAGGUCAACCUCCAGCCCAGUCUCAAAUCUCUGGAAAACUGAAACAGGUUUCCCUCAAGAAUUUCCCUGUAUUUAAUGCCAUCCCUCAGUCCUUCAAUUCUGACCAGUUUCCCAGUCCAGUAGUUUAGUCUCCCGCAUGCCUUUUGGCGAACACCAAACAUGUUUGCAAAUUUUUUUCUUUAAGCAAUGGCUUUUAUCUGGCCACUCUUCCACAAAGGCAAGCUCUGUGGAGUGUACGGCUUAAAGUAGUCCUAUGGACAGACACUCAAAUCUCUGCUGUGGAGCUUUCAGCUCAUUCAGGGCUAUCUUUGGUCUCUUUGUUGCCUCUCAGAUUAAUGCCCUUCUUGCCUGGUCUUUGAGUUUUAGUAGGCGGCCCACUCUUGGCAGGUUUGUUGUGAUGCCAUAUUCUUUAAAUUUUUAAAUAAUGCUUUUAAUUGGCGGCAGGUAGCCUAGUGGUUAGAGUGUUGGGACAGUAACCGAAAGGUUCCUGGAUCAAAACCUUCAGCUGACCAGGUAAAAAUAUGUAAUUCUUCCCCUGAACAAGGCAUUUAACCCACUGUUCCUAGGCUGUCAUUGUAAAUAAGAAUUUGUUCUUAACUGACUUGCCUAGUAAAAUAAAAAUAUGGUGCUCUUUGGGAUGUUCAAAGUUUCUGAUGUUUUUUUAUAACCCAACCCUGAUCUGUACUUUUCCACAUCUUUGUCCCUGACCUGUUUGGAGAGCUUCGUGGUGCUCCUUGCUUAGUGGUGUUUCAGAACAGGUUUAUAUAUACUGAGAUCAUGUGGCAGAUCAUGUGCCACUUAGAUUGCACACAGGUGUACUUAAUUUAACUAAUUAUGUGACUUCUGAAGGUAAUUGGUUGCACCAGAUCUUAUUUAGGGGCUUCAUAGCAAAAGGGGUGAAUAAAUAUGCACGCACCACUUUUCCGUUUUUUUUUUUUUCAAAUUUUUUGAAACAUGCUAUUUUUUUUAUUUCACUUCACCAAUUUGGACUAUUUUGUUUAUGUCCAUUACAUGAAAUCAAAAUCAAAAUCCAUUUGCAUUACAGGUUGUAGUGCAACAAAAUAGGACAAACGCCAAGGGGGAUGAAUACUUUUGCAAGGCACUGUAUCAAUGGAGAUUUGACACUUUGUCACUACAAUGGGGGGUUGAGAGAGAGUGAGAGAAAGAUCUCUUGCAAUAUGAUGCAUAUCCAUCCAUGAUCACAGAUUUAAUGGUCAGCUGCUGGACACCAGAUGUCCAGGGCUCUGCCAAGUUUGAGCUCUCUCUCUCUAUAUCCCUCUCUCUCUCUCUCAACCCCCAUUGUCAUGACAAAGUGUCAAAUCUCCAAGGAUAAUUUAGCUAUGAUGAAUGUUAUUUUCAUCAAGGCCUAUUUAAUGCAUUGUUAAGCCUCAUUUGGAUUUGAUGUUAGCAUGGUCAGAAUGGGUGUGGGUCAGACAUAAAUACAGUAUAAUUUGGUAUUGCUAAUCAUAUAUCUGUCACGACUUCUGCCGAAGUCGAUGCCUCUCCUUGUUUGGGCGGUGCUCGGCGAUCGACGUCACCAGUCUUCUAGCCAUCAUUGAUCUAUGUUUCAUUUUCCAUUGGUUUUGUCUGGUCUUCUUACACACCUGGUUCCAAUCCCAUUCAUUAUAUGUUGUGUAUUUAACCCUCUGUUUCCCUCAUGCCCUUGUCAGAGAUUGUAUUUUGUUAUGAUCAUGUUUUAUAGAUUGGUGUGUGACGGGUUUUUGUACCCAGCAUUUCUUUUUUUUUAAUGGAUUUGGUCUUGGAGUUUGUGUUUUAAGCUAUUAAAAUACUCCAUUAUACCAA
ensembl:lncRNA